UACGUAGGGACCAAGCGUUGUUCGGAUUUACUGGGCGUAAAGGGCGCGUAGGCGGCUUAACAAGUCACUUGUGAAAUCUCCGGGCUUAACUCGGAACGGCCAAGUGAAACUGUCAAGCUAGAGUGCAGAAGGGGCAACCGGAAUUCUUGGUGUAGCGGUGAAAUGCGUAGAUAUCAAGAGGAACACCUGAGGUGAAGACGGGUUGCUGGGCUGACACUGACGCUGAGGCGCGAAAGCCAGGGGAGCAAACGGG
rnacentral:rRNA from 1 species